GACGAACGCUGGCGGCGUGCUUAACACAUGCAAGUCGAACGGAAAGGCUUCUUUCGGGGUACUCGUGUGGCGAAAGGGUGAGUAAGACGUGCGUAACCUGCCCUUGACUUCGGGAUAACUUCAGGAAACUGGGGCUAAUACUGGUACGGCAUCCUUACUUCAUGGAGGGGGUUGGAAAGCUACGGUGGUUUUGGAUGGACUCGCGGCUUAUCAGCCUGUUGGUGGGGUAGUGGCUUACCAAGGCGUUGACGGGUAGCCGGCCUGAGAGGGCGACCGGCCACAUUGGGACUGAGGGACGGCCCAGACUCCUACGGGAGGCAGCAGUGGAGAAUAUUGCACAAUGGGCGGGAGCCAGAUGCAGCAACGCCGCGGGCGGGAUGACGGCCUGCUGGUUGAAAACCGCGUUCAGCAUGGGCGAAGCUUGUAGUGACGGUACCUGCAGAGGAAGCACCGGCUAACUACGUG
rnacentral:rRNA from 1 species